GCAUAUCAAUAAGCGGAGGAAAAGAAAAUAACAAUGAUUCCUCUAGUAACUGCGAGUGAAGAGGGAAAAGCUCAAAUUUUAAAUCUGUUAGGUUUACCUAACCGAGUUGUAAUUUGAAGAAGCGUUUUCUGCGAUUUUGGUUAGUCCAAAUCCUUUGGAAUAAGGUAUCAUGGAGGGUGAGAAUCCCGUUCGGUUAACCAAAGCGCUUUACGAUACGCCUUCAAAGAGUCAAGUUGUUUGGGAUUGCAGCUUAAAAUGGGAGGUAAAUUUCUCCUAAGGCUAAAUAUUGGCGAGAGACCGAUAGCGAACAAGUACCGUGAGGGAAAGAUGAAAAGAACUUUGAAAAGAGAGUUAAACAGUACGUGAAAUUGUUGAAAGGGAAACGAUUAAAGUCAGUCGUACCUACGAGUGAUCAACCUACUCGAGUGCGAUUUUGUGGGUAUGUUUGAGCUUAAAAACCUUCAUGCUUACAAAUUGGUGCUCUUUGGGCGUACUUUCUCGUAUGGUAGGUUAACAUCAAUUUCGAUCGUUAUAAAAUGACUGGAGGAAUGUAGCUUCGACCUCGGUUGAAGUGUUAUAGCCUUUGGUAGAUGUAAUGAUUGGGAUUGAGGAUUGCAACGGAUACCCUCUGGGCUAUUCGUCUGAUCUCUGGAAGUUACCUUGGUGUCGAAAGCGUGCUUACGAUAUUAAGGUUGACGGCCAAUAGGUUAGAACGUGAUUAAAUUCGUUAAGGAUGUUGACGUAAUGGCUUUAAACGAC
rnacentral:rRNA from 1 species